ensembl:misc_RNA 7SK 7SK RNA
GGAUAUGAGGGUGCUUUUGCCGGGAUACCUGUCACCAGUUGAUCACAAUAGUUGAUUUGCCUGAUCUGGCUAACUAGAUGGGUUCCCCUUCCUUACUAACUGCCCCAUAUAUGUCUCUGCCAAAGCUGCACAUUCUGUUGAGGAGGAUGAGUUUCCCCAAUACAGGAGAAUGAUCCUUCCAUAAGGGUAUACAUGCAGCAGCACUCCCUUGCUAGAUGCUCCAAACAAGUCCUCAAAGAACCCAAGAAAAAGCCUGCGAAAGAUAGUGUUUAAAAUAGCAUGGCCACUCCAACUGGUUUAUACCACUACCUAUUUUU